GAUUAACGCUGGCGGCGUGCAUAACACAUGCAAGUCGAACGAUGAAACUCAUUAGAUUUCUUCGGAAUGAAAAUGAAUGGAUUAGUGGCGAACGGGUGAGUAACGCGUGAGUAACCUGCCUUACACAAGGGGAUAGCCUCUGGAAACGGAGAAUAAUACCCUAUGAAACCAGACAAUCACAUGAUAAUCUGGUCAAAAUGUUUAGUGGUGUAAGAUGGACUUGCGUCUGAUUAGCUAGUUGGUGAGAUAAAAGCUCACCAAGGCAACGAUCAGUAGCCGGCUUGAGAGAGUGUACGGCCACAUUGGGACUGAGACACGGCCCAGACUCCUACGGGAGGCAGCAGUGGGGAAUUUUGCACAAUGGGGGAAACCCUGAUGCAGCGACGCCGCGUGAUUUAGAAGGCCUUCGGGUUGUAAAAAUCUUUUGUAUAGGAAGAAAAUGACAGUACCAUAAGAAUAAGGUCCGGCUAAAUACGUGCCAGCAGCCGCGGUAAUACGUAUGGACCGAGCGUUGUCCGGAAUCAUUGGGCGUAAAGGGUACGUAGGCGGCCUAGUAAGUUAGAAGUGAAAUAAUAUAGCUCAACUAUAUAAAGCUUUUAAAACUGUUAGGCUUGAGAGAUGAAAGGGAAAGUGGAAUUCCUAGUGUAGCGGUGAAAUGCGCAGAUAUUAGGAAGAAUACCGGUGGCGAAGGCGACUUUCUGGUCAUCAUCUGACGCUGAGGUACGAAAGCGUGGGUAGCAAACAGGAUUAGAUACCCUGGUAGUCCACGCUGUAAACGAUGAGUGUUAGGUUCUUGGAAUAAUCUGGGAGCCGCAGCUAACGCAUUAAACACUCCGCCUGGGGAGUACGCACGCAAGUGUGAAACUCAAAGGAAUUGACGGGGACCCGCACAAGCAGCGGAGCAUGUGGUUUAAUUCGACGCAACGCGAAGAACCUUACCAAGUCUUGACAUAAUACGGAGGGAGUUAGAGAUAAUUCCUUAUCACUUCGGUGAGCUGUAUUACAGGUGGUGCAUGGUUGUCGUCAGCUCGUGUCGUGAGAUGUUGGGUUAAGUCCCAUAACGAGCGCAACCCCUAUCGUUAGUUACCAUCAUUAAGUUGGGGACUCUAGCGAUACUGCCGGUGAUAAACCGGAGGAAGGUGGGGACGACGUCAAAUCAUCAUGCCCUUUAUGACUUGGGCUACACACGUGCUACAAUGGCAGAUACAGAGGGCAGCGAAAGGGCGAUCUGAAGCGAAACUCACAAAGUCUGUCCCAGUUCGGAUUGUACUCUGCAACUCGAGUACAUGAAGUUGGAGUUGCUAGUAAUCGCGAAUCAGAAUGUCGCGGUGAAUGCGUUCCCGGGUCU
rnacentral:rRNA from 1 species